rnacentral:rRNA from 1 species
GACGAACGCUGGCGGCGUGCUUAACACAUGCAAGUCGAACGGAAAGGCCCUGCUUUUGUGGGGUGCUCGAGUGGCGAACGGGUGAGUAACACGUGAGUAACCUGCCCUUGACUUUGGGAUAACUUCAGGAAACUGGGGCUAAUACCGGAUAGGAGCUCCUGCUGCAUGGUGGGGGUUGGAAAGUUUCGGCGGUUGGGGAUGGCCUCGCGGCUUAUCAGCUUGUUGGUGGGGUAGUGGCUUACCAAGGCUUUGACGGGUAGCCGGCCUGAGGGGGUGACCGGCCACAUUGGGACUGAGAUACGGCCCAGACUCCUACGGGAGGCAGCAGUGGGGAAUAUUGCACAAUGGGCGGAAGCCUGAUGCAGCAACGCCGCGUGCGGGAUGACGGCCUUCGGGUUGUAAACCGCUUUCGCCUGUGACGAAGCGUGAGUGACGGUAAUGGGUAAAGAAGCACCGGCUAACUACGUG